GAUGAACGCUGGCGGCGUGCCUAAUACAUGCAAGUCGAGCGAACAGAUGAGGAGCUUGCUCCUCUGACGUUAGCGGCGGACGGGUGAGUAACACGUUGAUAACCUACCUAUAAGACUGGGAUAACUUCGGGAAACCGGAGCUAAUACCGGAUAAUAUAUUGAACCGCAUGGUUCAAUAGUGAAAGACGGUUUUGCUGUCACUUAUAGAUGGAUCCGCGCCGCAUUAGCUAGUUGGUAAGGUAACGGCUUACCAAGGCAACGAUGCGUAGCCGACCUGAGAGGGUGAUAGCCCACAACAGAACUAGGACGCGGUCCAGACUCCGACGGGAGGCACCAGUAGGGAAUCUUCCGCACAGAGAGAAAGACUGACGGAGCAACGCCACGUGAGUAAGGAAGUGCUUGGGAUCGUAAAACUCUGUUAUUAGGGAAGAACAAAUCUGUAAGUAACUAGGCACGUCUUAAAGGUACCUAAUCAGAAGGCCACGGCUAACUACGUG
rnacentral:rRNA from 1 species